CCCGCCUCAACUUUGCUAGCUCCGCCCUGUGCCGCCGUACUGCCGCCUCGCUUGCUCUCUCCGCUCCGAUCCAUACGUUGACGUCGAGUGAGUAGGCAAGUCCGCCGGCGGAUUCCUGAGCCCUUGGAGGUACCUGAUACUCUUGUGUUUUGGUUAGCAUGACAAAGAGGAAGAACAAUGAUCCCUUGCAUGAACCUGCUAAAAAACACAAAGUUCGUAGAAGGAUGGCAACGAAGAACAAUGAUUUGUUACAUGCGGCUUUCAGGGAAGGAAAGACGAUGAGUCUCCUAGAAAAAUCAUAAUUGGGCGAUCUGAAAAUCUUACUUCUAGAGAAAAUAAGUUGUUUGAUAGCAUUGUGGACCUAGUGACAAAAGAAAAAAGAUGACUGUGUCUUCCUUAGCAGCAGUAGCCUUCUAUUGGAAGCUAGAAGUACCCUUUUGACGGAGUUUGACAAUGACAAGGAGAUUCUGCAAUUGUGGUUGAAAUCCUGGAGAGGCCCAAGAGUUGAAUUUCUCAUUCAUCCAGUUUAUAGUUUUGGAACAGCAACGACCUCUGCCAAAAACCCGCUACUUUCUUUCUCAGAUAAUUUUGUGGAUUCAGAGAAUUGCAGAAUCAUUAAAUCAACCCUUACUGAGCUUGUUCAACAUAUUUGUUUUAUGGCAAUGGAUAAGACUACACGAGGAUUGGAUCAAGUUAAGACUUCAAAAACUGUUGAACUGUUAGAAGCCAAUGUGCUCAUUGCAACCAAAUUUCAGAAUUUGGGCAUAUUGCAUACAGCUCUAUUCAAAGGGUCAGCUAUUCAUUUUGUGCUAGAUGACUUGAUGGAUUUGUCUACUUGGCAUGGCUUCAGCUCUUGUCUGUCAGACUUCAAGAAGAGGAAUGUACCUAUGUUUUCAGGAAGACUUCUUGGAUCUGUCCCUCUAGGCACAAUGGCUAGCUACCCUAAUGAAAGAUACAAGAUUCUAAUCAGGUCUCUUCUUAAAGAAAUGGUUGGAUUGCAUAGAAAUGAGCAUUGCUUCAGUAACAUUUCUGAAUCUGAUAUAUGUCUUCGGGUACGACUGUUAAACUUUCAUGGAAGCUAAAGCUAUUGGAAUAUGAUAAUGUAAAAGCUAGGUCCAACCGUAGGUCCAUUAGAGCUAUCAUUGCAGAUAUGUUCAAGGGUUUAACUCUACCCAGUGAUUUAAAGGCCCUGUUAGAGUUGCUAGAUUGUGACUAUUUAGUACCAGGUGACUAUCUGUGCACUCAUUGCUCACUAAUGGAUGAUAUCAAUAAGAGUCACAUGAUCGGUGAUAUACAUAUGGAGUUUACUUCAAAUCUAACAAAUAGGGAUAAAGCGAUAGUGGCUGAACCCCUGUAUCACUAUAUAAAGAGAUGGAAAGAUUUGAUUAGGCCAAACACAUUGCUUAGUGGCAUGUUUAAGCACAAGUUUGAUGUGGGAAAAGAUGAUACUGAAGAAGUUGAAGGUGGUACCGAUCCUCGUCUAUUGAUGGCGAGAGGUGUUGCGGAACUUAUUUAACUUUGUUGGCUAUUGCAUCUUCCUUAUGAGGUGAACAUCCAGUUCAAGGAUCAGGGUGUCAAAAUUCAGCGGCGGGAGAUCGUCAGGAUCAUCACCUCUGAAUUGCCAGACAUACUGCAUAUAUUACAGAAUGAGCUACGUGCUAUUUUUGGAGAUAAAUGGUCAUGGGUUGAGAUAUUUCGAUAAAAUAAUUGUUCUUAGAUUAUAACUGAAAUUAAUUAAUAUGAUGAUCUUAAAUAUGUCUUUUUUGCAGGUUCGAGAGGUAUUUAGUUAUCAGUAAUGCUACGGCUACGUUCUUGCUGCCGCUGAUGGCUGCAAUACUCUGUUUAAUGUGUUACGUGUCUCUGCUGUAUAAGUGGCUCUAGCAUGCAAAAUACUGUAUAUGAGCUUGUACAGCUUACUCUUUAAUUAUUAGGAAUUAAGUA